rnacentral:snRNA from 1 species
GUGCUCACUUUGGCAGCACAUAUACUAAAAUUGGAAUGAUACAGAGAAGAUUAUCAUGGCCCCUGCACAAGGAUGACACGCAAAUUCAUGAAAUGUUCCAUAUUUUU